AAGACUUUUAUUACUACAUCUGAUCCUGGAAUGACAUCAUACGCUGAGAAAUUAACAAUUUAUGAAAACAAAAAACAAACAAAACCCCUACAAAUUCAGUGCAUGAAAUGAUCCGGGAGACACGUCAGUUGUGGCUUUGGCACAGUCAGGACCAGGGCGCGCGCUGCUUAGGCCGAGGCGCGCGCUGCUUAGUGGGUUCCCAGACCAUAGAAGCAGCAGAUUCCUUAUCAUACAAGAUCAUGAAACGCGUAAGUACAAGUAUAUAAAAUGUAUACACAGUAGGCGGAGGGUGAAGAGCGGGGACCUUCCUAUAGUAAAUGUCCCCUCCGGCAUGACGCUGGAGCUCCCGUCCCAGACACAGUCUGUGCGCGAGUGUCGGUCGUGGGACCUUGAGGCGCGUCGGGCACAGAAGCGCCGGCUGUAACCUGAGCAGAACUGUUAUAUGGACGCCCCCCUUCCUAACGAAUGGCAACCAGAUAUGUAAAAUGUAGCAAAAUAUUAAUAUUUAAAUCCAUCAAUGAUUGACUAAUCAGUGAUGGAGGCCAGGAGGUAAGUCAUCCCCUCCGGAGCCCCCCAUUCACUGCAGACAGCAAGGAUAGCGCAAUGGCCACCCCUUUAACCUCUAUUUUCUUAUAUGAUCGUCUUCUUACCGUGGGAAGAAAAUCACACCGAAUACAGAAGUCUGGGAAAGCGUCAGUCAAAUCUCGCUCGUAUAUCACAAGGUAAUAGAGUCUCUUCAUGCAUCCUUCGCUUUACAGGUCACAUACUCCAGUCACAUCCAAAGCUGUGAACCUACAGACCUGCACCUACUGGUGCACUGCAGAAAACAUAGCUUUCUCUACACCACUACUUUAUACUACUCUACCCAACAUCUGCCUCGAUGCAACAGAGCAGAGCCUGCACUGACAACACUGCCUCAGCAGGGGGCAGUGUGCAGGACACAUUUUCUUUUUGCCGCCAGGAAAUCAGCAGAACUUUGGAUAAAGCUAUGGGCUCAUUCAGACGUCCGCAUCAGUUUCGCAAAUUUUGAGGCACAAGUGCGGACCCAUUAACUUCAAUGGGGUCUCAAAAGAUGCGUACAGCAUACAGUGUGCCGUCCACAUCCGUAGUGCCGUUCCACAGCUACGCAAAAAAGACACAUGUCCCAUUCAUGUCUGCAAUUGGGGACAAGAAUAGGCAUUUUCUAGUGUAGCAGCGGCCAUGUGGAGUCCGCAAAUUGUGGGAUGCACACGGGCCAGUCUCAGUGUUGUGCGGAUCCGCAAAACACUACGGUCAGCUGAAUGUAGCCGAUGGCUGAGACAAGAUGAAAGAUGAUUGUUAAUGCAGCUUUGAAUGUAACUGGAGUAUAAAACAAGAUGGAACUUAGGAUCUGUAAGUGAAGUAAAGGAUUAGCUAAAUUUAGAAUCGCGGGAAGGUCUUACCUUCGAAUGAGGCUAAAUCUGUACGUCUCAUAGUCCGUCGGCUUUCCUGGAUUACCAGAAUUUGGCCCCGAUUGCACUAAACUUCAACAUUUCACUCCCUGAGAUAAAGUCCGUUAUAAUCUACAAUAAUUAUCGCCAUUUCUGCUGGUGGCAGCAGUCACACGUCUCUCCCUGUCCACCAUUGUAUGAGAGACUGAGCAGACUCUACACACCUGACUACGACUACCAAACAGCUGAAAUUUCUUGCAAUUAAUUACAACAAAAAUAAAAAAUUUGAAAAAUA